rnacentral:rRNA from 1 species
CUUGGUCAUUUAGAGGAAGUAAAAGUCGUAACAAGGUCUCCGUUGGUGAACCAGCGGAGGGAUCAUUACUGAGUUUACGCUCUACAACCCUUUGUGAACAUACCUAUAACUGUUGCUUCGGCGGGUAGGGUCUCCGCGACCCUCCCGGCCUCCCGCCUCCGGGCGGGUCGGCGCCCGCCGGAGGAUAACCAAACUCUGAUUUAACGACGUUUCUUCUGAGUGGUACAAGCAAAUAAUCAAAACUUUUAACAACGGAUCUCUUGGUUCUGGCAUCGAUGAAGAACGCAGCGAAAUGCGAUAAGUAAUGUGAAUUGCAGAAUUCAGUGAAUCAUCGAAUCUUUGAACGCACAUUGCGCCCGCCAGCAUUCUGGCGGGCAUGCCUGUUCGAGCGUCAUUUCAACCCUCAAGCUCUGCUUGGUGUUGGGGCCCUACAGCCGAUGUAGGCCCUCAAAGGUAGUGGCGGACCCUCCCGGAGCCUCCUUUGCGUAGUAACUUUACGUCUCGCACUGGGAUCCGGAGGGACUCUUGCCGUAAAACCCCCCAAAUUUCCAAAGGUUGACCUCGGAUCAGGUAGGAAUACCCGCUGAACUUAAGCAUAUCAAUAAGCGGAGGA